ACAAUAAAGGUUAUAUACCUCUGAUUUUUGUAUAUUUAUUUAUGAAAUGCUUCGAAAAGGUGACCCGUGGUUGUGCAGCUGGAGUUGCUGCUGCUUUUAGAGCUCCAGUUGGAGGUGUAUUAUUUGCAUUGGAGGAGGUUACAUCUUGGUGGAGGAGUCAACUAAUGUGGCGUGUCUUUUUCACUUCUGCGAUUGUGGCUGUUGUGGUGCGUGGUACUAUGGGAUGGUGCAAAAGUGGAAACUGUGGUCAUUUUGGUUCUGGUGGCUUCAUCAUAUGGGAUAUAUCUGAGUUAGUAUCUUCCUCAAGCUCUUGUACAUUAACUCCACAGACAUUUUGCUUAGCUUUAAGCUUACCACUUCAAAACAUUUUAUUCUCUUUCUUUCAUCCUGUAUAGUGCUCAAGAGGACUAUUCUUUCGAGGAAUUAUUGCCAAUGGCACUUAUUGGGGACAUUGGAGGUCUUCUAGGAGCUUUGUUUAACCAACUUACUAUAUAUGUAACUUUCUGGAGACGUAAUUAUUUGCACGAGAAAGGGAAUCGAGUUAAGAUAUAUGAAGCAUAC